rnacentral:lncRNA from 1 species
GUGGCUAAUUAAGUAGUGGGAGAGUCACCGGAAGAUUGUCGGAGAUUUGUCCAGCAGAAAUAGAGAGAGAAAAAGUAAAAGAGCACAAAACAGAAGAUAAAAGGGGGAACAAAUGAAAACCCAGGUAAGGAAAAGGCGUACUUAUCGCCGGAGGAGAAGCUGUAGAGCUUGCCGGAGGCGGAGACGACGAGAAGAGCGACGGAUGCGUCACAGAGAACAGAAAGCUGACGAGCUUUCUCGAUGAGACCGUUGCGACGUUUGGAGAAGGUGACUUGUCGGCUACUUUUGUUCUCAAUUCGCUUGAUUUCUAGUUUUUUUCUUCCCAUGGCUUCUCUCCGAGAGGGCUUUGUGCCCUAAUUUGAUCCUCAGGUUUGGGUUCAAGUCGCCGGAGAUACUAAGCGUUUUCUCUUUCUAUUUUUUUUUUUCCUUUUCUCGCUUUAUUUCUUUCUAUUUUUUGUGCCUAUCUACUUUUUCUUCGUCGGGCCAGAUAUUUUUUUUUUUUUGGGGGUAAACGAGAGUGAUGCAAAAAAACCAAAUAUGUGAAUAAAAACGUUGUGUUUUGAAGACAAGAUUGCCACGUGUACCGC